rnacentral:rRNA from 1 species
AGCCCUAAGAAAUCAAUAUUUAGGGUGAGACCUGCCCAGUGAUGAUUUAAAUGGCCGCGGUACUUUGACCGUGCUAAGGUAGCAUAAUCAAUUGACUUUUGAAUGAAGUCUGGAAUGAAAGGGGACACGGAAUUAAGCUAUCUGAUACUUUUAAUUAGAAUUUACUAACUAAGUGAAAAGGCUUAGAUAAGAUAAAAGACGAGAAGACCCUAAGAGUUUAAAAAUUUUGUUGGGGCGACAUAGGGUCAAAAAGCUUAACACCCUAAAAUAUAUUUGACGGAUUUUUCAUGAUUAGAAAAACUACCUUAGGGAUAACAGCAUAAUUUUUUAAAGUUUGUGACCUCGAUGUUGGACUAGGAAGCUUUUAGGCUAGCUGCUUAAAUAGGGGAUUCUGUUCGAAUUUUUAUUCCU